rnacentral:rRNA from 1 species
UAAGGAAUAUUGCGCAAUGGGCGAAAGCCUGACGCAGCGACGCCGCGUGGGGGAUGAAGGUCUUCGGAUUGUAAACCCCUUUCGGGAGGGAAGAUGGAAUGGGGUAACCCAUUCGGACGGUACCUCCAGAAGCAGCCACGGCUAACUUCGUGCCAGCAGCCGCGGUAAUACGAAGGUGGCAAGCGUUAUUCGGAUUUACUGGGCGUACAGGGAGCGUAGGCGGUUCGGUAAGCCCUCUGUGAAAUCUUCAGGCUUAACCUGGAAAAGUCGGAGGGGACUGCUGGGCUAGAGGACGGGAGAGGAGCGCGGAAUUCCCGGUGUAGCGGUGAAAUGCGUAGAGAUCGGGAGGAAGGCCGGUGGCGAAGGCGGCGCUCUGGAACGUUUCUGACGCUGAGGCUCGAAAGCGUGGGGAGCAAACAGGAUUAGAUACCCCCGUAGUCCCUGAGCGGGCUGGCAAGGCGCAU